CUAGCACCCAGCGCGUCCCGGCCAUGGGCUCCGGAGGCGGCGCGGGGCCCGGAGGUGGCCGCUGUGGCGCGAGCCGAGGGGAAGUGGAAUCCAGGGCGGGGGAGGGGGCUCCGCGCACAUGCGCCGCGCGCACCAGGGCGCUGAGACCGGAGUCCCGGAGGUGGAGGAGAGCGGCCGGCUCCGCCUGGGCUCCGCCCUGGGGGCGGGGCUGCCUGGCGGGUAGGGGUGCGGACCGGGUGCGGACGGGGUGACCUGAGAGCCUCUGGAGUAGAAUCAGAUCUAGGCCCUCCUGCUCAAGUUCUCAGGCUGGGGACUAGAGAUGCCUCCCAAACCCCAGGUAAGAAAUCAUCGACCGAGGUAUAUACUCGCAGCCAGAUCUAUUAAAUGUUUCUUUUUCCAUUGCAUUUAUUUAUUUAUUGUGUAAUAAUAAAUACACAAUAUUUAUUAUUAUUGUUGCAGGUACCAUGGCCCCAGUGUGGUGGCCAGAAGAUAGCUCAGGGGUCAGUUCCCUCCUUCUGUGUAGGUCACUGGGAUGGAAUUCCGGUAGUCGGGCUUGGCAGCAAGGGUUCUAUCCACCCAGUCAUCACAGCUCCUAUAAACUUUCCUUUCCAGAAAGAAGAUGGGCAGUCCCUUCAUUGCAGAUUAUCAGCCCAAGGGAAAACCUGCAGAGUUAUUGAAGAUUCUCCUUCUCCUCCUUUUCCCUUUUUGUGUCUCUGUGUGUGCUUGUGCAGGCCAGAGGGCGACAUCGAGUGUCAUUCUGUCACUCUCGGCCUAUGUUUUAGACAGGGCCUCUCACUGAACGUGGAGCUCACCGCGUCCACUGGCUUGGCUGUCCAGCAGGACUCCCCAGAUGUGUCUCUCUACCUCCCCACACUGGGGUUAUGGAUGUAUACUAAUUAAUGUACAUGGCUUUUACACUGUGCUAGAGAAAGGAACCUAAGUCAUUGUUUCACACAGCACUUUACAGAAAUCCAUCUGCCUCCUGAGUGCUGGGAUUAAAGGCGUGUGCAGCAGCAGCAGCAGCAGCAGCAGCAGCCGCCGCCGCCGCCGCCGCCGCCGCCGCCGCCGCCACCCAGCUUUCCUCUUUUUUUUUUUUGUUAUUGUUGUUGUUUUGUUUUGUUCAGUAGCUGCAACAAUCAUUCAAAAUGUAUUAGUCAAAAUUGCCAAAACCCACAGUACAUAAAAGGAUAACUUGUAGCUUUUUUGUAUGUUUGUUUUUGAGACAAUGUGUUACUAUGUAGCCCUGGUUGUCCUGGAACUCACUAUGUAGACCAGUCUAGCCUUGAACUCACAGAGAUCUCCUGCCUCUGCCUCCCGGGUGCUGGGGAUUAGUCAGGAGUAAAACCAAAAUUCUAAUAGAAAACUCCUUUUUACAUAGAGGAAGUUGGAAGGGUUGUAAAGGAGAAAAGAAGCUGGAGAAUUAUUCAUUUGGCUAACAAACAUGCACUGUUAUUUUUCUGUUCCACGUAGAGUGCUAUAUAUGCCUCGUACAUUCAGAGAUGUCAUGGGCUUUCAGGUGAACUAGAGUGAUGUGUACUUUACCAGGCAGUGGUGGCGCACACCUUUAGUCCCAGCUCUCGGGAGGCAGAGCCAGGUGGAUCUCUGUGAGUUUGAGGCCAGCCUGGUCUACAGAGCAAGAUCCAGGAGAGGCAUAAAAACAACACAGAGAAACCCUGUGUGGGGGGGGGGGCAAAAAGUGCUGUUUACUUGGGUUUAUGUAUAAUAACGUUUUGGAACAUUGUAGCACUGCCAGCAGGGUGGCACAUGCUUUUAAUCCCAGCACUUGGGAGGCAGAAGCAGGAGAGCUCUGUAGGUUGGAGGGCAGCCUGGUCUACAUAGUCAACCAGGACUGCCACAGAGCAAUUCUGUCUCGGAAAUAAGGAAACAUAUUAUUUAAAACUCCACUAUAAAUGGCUGUGUGUGUUCUGUUUGGAUUACAUCUGGUGCUAUUCGAGUGAUGUUGGGAAGGGUUUAGUCGAUAAGGACUAAGUAACGCGGAGAAGCCAGGCAGGCUUGAUGUACGAUGAGUUCCAAGGAAGGUAAAACGGCAAGCGUCAAAGCUCAGGUACAGAGAUUGCUUCAGAGAGCAGAGAGCACUGCUGUUUAUCUGUAAGUUAAUCAUAAAACGCUGUUUUCCGGUUCUGUUGUAGCGAUCUCUUAGGCAUAGCGCUGGCGGGUUGUCAACCGACUUCCUUGAUGGCUUUUCAGGUAAAGCUGGUCUACAUUGCUGGAAACACUAGUUGGGGGAGAGUACGGAGAAAAGCCGUCAAGCCUUCACAGCUCUGCAGAAGACAUUACUAUGAGCUGGGGGGAGCUAGAAGGGGGCAAUUGCUCUCGUUGCUAAUAAAGGAAGAGUUCAUUUUAUUAUCUGUGCCCUUCCAUUGUGAGAGGUGAGCAUGCGCUUCCUCUGAUGUGUAAUGAAGCCGAAUUCAUCUCAAAGGACCCCCCCACACACACCCCUCUUUGCAUUUGAAAGGAACUAAAAAUCGUGAGCCACACAUGGCAGCGAGCCCGGGGUGGCAGAGGGAAUUGCAGUCAUGCAGCACCAUAAAGAAAUGGUGCCCAUUUGUGUGACCUUGGGUUGAGGUGCGAGGCCACAUCCAAGAUUAAAGGAAGUUUAUUAGGUUGAGUGGAUGCAAAGGAGCUUGAAGAAUUGGGGCUCCCAGUUAUUUCCAGGAACAGACAAAGAACCAGCUUUGUUACCGCCAUCGCUCCCCGUUCCUUUUAUCCGAGAGGAAACCUGGCCCUCUAGAGUUACGAACGCAGACUCGGCAAUGACGCGAGCCUUGCUUCAGCGGUUGGCUUCCACUCGCGACGAAGAAAUCUACACCAAGCAGUUUUUGUCUCUCACAUGGAUUCCGUCUGUGAAGGAAGAAAAUAUACUUACUUAUGAUUGACAGCUGACAAAGUAGUACAUUUCCAAAUGCUGCCACAUCUCCUCUGGUUAAAAUUGAACCAGGCCCUCUGGGAAAGACAGCAGUUGGUUACUUAUUUGAAUGAAAUGUUCUGUCAAGAAAGGAUAGUUUCAAUAAAAAGUAAACCAGA